CGUGCUUAAGACAUGCAAGUCGAGCGAGAAAGUUUCCUUCGGGAGACGAGUACAGCGGCGCACGGGUGAGUAACGCGUGGGUAAUCUGCCUCCGGGCUUGGGAUAACCUCGGGAAACUGGGGCUAAUACCGAAUGAGCCCACAGGGUUUUCGGAUCCAGUGGGAAAAGGUGGCCUCUGCUUGCAAGCUAUCACCUGGAGAUGAGCCCGCGUCCCAUUAGCUUGUUGGUGAGGUAACGGCUCACCAAGGCAACGAUGGGUAGCUGGUCUGAGAGGAUGAUCAGCCACACUGGGACUGAGACACGGCCCAGACUCCUACGGGAGGCAGCAGUCGGGAAUUUUGGGCAAUGGGCGAAAGCCUGACCCAGCAACGCCGCGUGAGGGAUGAAGGCCCUCGGGUCGUAAACCUCUGUCGGGAGGGAAGAACGUUCUCCGGCUGAAUAAUCCGGGGAGCUGACGGUACCUCCAAAGGAAGCACCGGCUAACUCCGUG
rnacentral:rRNA from 1 species